AUCUCUAGAGUUGAAUAUCAUCUACUGCAUAGAACUCUGUGGCCCAGCUGUGGUGCUACAAGAGAUGGCCAGAUUUGAUGCCUUCUUCCACCUAAACAAGGCCAGAUUUGUCUUCUUUGGACCUUUCAUACAAAUGGGACCAUAUAAUAUGUGGCCUCUGGGUCUGGCUUCUGAAAUGUUUGUUCAUGUUGUAGCAUGUUUCAUGUUUUUAUGGUUGAAAAAUAUUCCGUUGUAUGGCUCUACUACAUUUGGUUUAUUCAUUUAUCUGUUGAUGGACACCUGGUUUCUUUGCACAUUUUGGUUAUUAUGAAAAAGCUGCUCUGAACACCCAUGUACAAGUUUUUAUAUUCACAUGUUUUUCUAUUCUCUUGUGAAUAUACGAGAAGUGGAAUUAAUCGGUCAUAUGUUAACGCUAUGUUUAAUUUUUUAAGGAACUGAGCAGAUUGAUUUUGAUAACUGCUUUUCUAUAGCUUAAAGCACAUAACUAUCUAAUGAAGGAAUGCUAAAAGGCUAUUGCCAAACACGUGAAAAACAAUGGAAAGGGAAACAAUAAAAGAAAUCCACAGCUCUCAUAAAACCAAAUUGCAUUAGGUGUUAUUGUCUGUGGAGUUCCAAUUUAAUGGUCAGUUU